rnacentral:rRNA from 1 species
UGGGGAAUCUUGCACAAUGGGGGAAACCCUGAUGCAGCGACGCCGCGUGAGUGAUGAAGCCCUUCGGGGUGUAAAGCUCUUUCGGCAGGGACGAUAAUGACGGUACCUGAAGAAGAAGCUGCGGCUAACUACGUGCCAGCAGCCGCGGUAAUACGUAGGCAGCGAGCGUUGUUCGGAGUUACUGGGCGUAAAGAGUGCGUAGGCGGUUUUCCAAGUUUGGUGUGAAAUCUCCCGGCUUAACUGGGAGGGUGCGCCGAAAACUGGAAGGCUAGAGUAUGGGAGAGGUAAGCGGAAUUCCUGGUGUAGCGGUGAAAUGCGUAGAUAUCAGGAGGAACACCUGCGGUGUAGACGGCUUACUGGACCAUAACUGACGCUGAGGCACGAAAGCGUGGGUAGCAAA